ACAAACAAAGAGGGACUACCCCCCACCAGGAUGCAGCGUCCUCCGCCUCCACGGGCUGUCUCGCUACCUCCUCCAUGGCUUAGCCCCUUUGUACUUCUGGCCUUCGGAGGAACUCGAUCUGUGGCUGGAAGUGCCGGCAUUUAGUGGCUUUUCCCUGAUUCGAGGUCCUACGAAGAUAUACAAGUGGCAUGAGAUCACUUUUACCAGUGGAGAUAAACCGGGAGAAAGCUGUGUCACAGCACCUACCAUUUUACCAAACAAAGUGUGCGGUUCUCAGGACUACGUGUAUCUGCAUGCAAACCGGCCGGGGUUCUGGGCUGUAAACUGUCCCGCAACUCCCUGUGAAUGUCCUGACAAGACCAUCGAAAAAUGCAGAAAUACUUCGUCAGUGUCAGGAACAUCAUGCGGAAAUCAUGAACUAUAUGCACUCAGAAUCC